rnacentral:rRNA from 1 species
GUGGGGAAUAUUGGACAAUGGGCGAAAGCCUGAUCCAGCCAUGCCGCGUGUGUGAAGAAGGUCUUCGGAUUGUAAAGCACUUUAAGUUGGGAGGAAGGGCAGUAAGUUAAUACCUUGCUGUUUUGACGUUACCGACAGAAUAAGCACCGGCUAACUUCGUGCCAGCAGCCGCGGUAAUACGAAGGGUGCAAGCGUUAAUCGGAAUUACUGGGCGUAAAGCGCGCGUAGGUGGUUUUGUAAGUUGGAGGUGAAAUCCCCGGGCUCAACCUGGGAACUGCCUCCAAAACUGCAUGACUAGAGUACGGUAGAGGGUAGUGGAAUUUCCUGUGUAGCGGUGAAAUGCGUAGAUAUAGGAAGGAACACCAGUGGCGAAGGCGACUACCUGGACUGAUACUGACACUGAGGUGCGAAAGCGUGGGGAUCAAACAGGAUUAGAUACCCCGGUAGUCC